GUCUACAGCCACGCCACCCUGAACCAGCCCCAUCCCGGCUGAUCUCGGAAGCUAAGCAGGGUCGGGCCUGGUCAGUACUCGGAUGGGAGACCACCUAGGAAGACCAGGUGCUGUAGGCG
rnacentral:rRNA from 1 species